AUGGGGCCACUUACGCAUACCACAGGUUCUACUCUCAGGAGCAGGAUCCCCUUUCAGUUCCCCACAGGAGGUACCUCUCUGCUAUCGCUGUGUUUCCCCCAGGGUCCCCAACACACACAGCUUUGCCUGCUGGGCCUCAGUCAAAACCGGAACCACAUGCAAGUUCAGCAGCCUCAGACAUUUGGACCAACAGACACUAGAUGCUACUCCUCUGCAGGAUCUUGUACCGUACAGAGAGGAUUCCUGUCAACAUGGAUUCAGCCUCUUGCUGAGAAAAACAGGUGGUUCCGUGCCUGCGUCAGAAAUCCAUAGCUGGGAUUGUAACCCCAGUCCCACACCCACCUUACUGCAGACGUGGAAAAGUUGCUAAACACUCUGUCCUCUGUCUUCCAUCUUUAACCAAAUUGUAAAACACACAUUUCUAUUUUCUAGGAGUAUGGGGAAGACGAGAUUAACUUUGAGGAAGAGAGCGGUCAGUUUCUCGAGAUGAGGCAGGACAUCAUUCAUCACUUUCGUGGAGGUGAACCUGUGGAACUCACCGUAUGCCCUCAGCCGGUAGUUCAGGGAGUAGUUCACCUCACUCAGAAGACAUCUAUUUCGGCAGACUCCGACAUCCGGUUUGUUAUCUUCUCGCUGGGAGCAGGAUUUCUCAAUGGUUUCUGGAACGUUCACCUCUGGGUCUUUUCUGGAAGGAAGUUUACCGGAAUCCACCCUGCUGUUUGGGUAACAAUACCGAAAGCCAGGGACUGGAAAGAAGAAACCCAAGACAGGGUGAAUUAGAAACUGGUGAUAUCAAAUUGGUUUAAUCGGGACUGAGGAAUGUCACUGACAGCCUUGCCUAUUGAUUUGAAGAUGUUCUUUCCCCGAAUUACUCUUCUCAUCUGUGCUCUCGAUCACCUUAGAGUCAACUUGUCUUAGCUACUCAUUUACCUUGAAGCCAGGACAUAAACAUUUCUACCUUGAUCCUGUUUUUCAGUUCUAAAGGAUCUUAUAUGGUAUGGAUAAGAUUCCUGUAAACAUGAUUUAGCCUCCUGCAGAGAAAAGCAGGUGUUUUGGUUCCUGUGUUGGAAAUCAGUAUCUGGGAUGUUCACCCAAUCUGUCUUAUUGCAGAUGUGGAAAGUUGCUAAAUAAUUUUGCCUGUGUGUUACGUCUUUAAGAAAAUGUUAACAUACCAAUUGCUACCUUCCUAGAAGUCUGGGGAGUGAUAAAAUUAGACUGAAGAAGAGAGUAGAGCAGUUGUCAGAGACAAGACAGAACACUGUCCAGGACUUCCGUAAUGGUGAACCUACAGAACUCACCUUUCAUCCUCAGC
rnacentral:lncRNA from 13 species